rnacentral:rRNA from 1 species
CAAGUCGAACGGUCUCUCGCAAGAGAGGUAGUGGCAAACGGGUGAGUAAUAGAUAAACAACCUGCCUUUAAGUGGGGGGAUAACACUUCGAAAGAAGUGCUAAUACCGCAUGUGGUGCUCUUUCAUAAGAAGGAUCACUAAAACCGCAAGGUGCUUGAAGAGGGGUUUGUCUCCGAUUAGCUUGUUGGUGGGGUAAUGGCCUACCAAGGCAAUGAUCGGUAGCUGGUCUGGGAGGAUGGUCAGCCACACUGGAACUGAGAUACGGUCCAGACUCC